UACGGAGGAUCCAAGCGUUAUCCGGAAUCAUUGGGUUUAAAGGGUCCGUAGGCGGUUUAGUAAGUCAGUGGUGAAAGCCCCAUCGCUCAACGGUGGAACGGCCAUUGAUACUGCUAGACUUGAAUUAUUAGGAAGUAACUAGAAUAUGUAGUGUAGCGGUGAAAUGCUUAGAGAUUACAUGGAAUACCAAUUGCGAAGGCAGGUUACUACUAAUGGAUUGACGCUGAUGGACGAAAGCGUGGGUAGCGAACAGG
rnacentral:rRNA from 1 species